rnacentral:rRNA from 1 species
UACGGAAGGCAGCAGUGGGGAAUAUUGCACAAUGGGCGCAAGCCUGAUGCAGCCAUGCCGCGUGUAUGAAGAAGGCCUUCGGGUUGUAAAGUACUUUCAGUCGUGAGGAAGGUGUUAAGGUUAAUAACCUUAGCAAUUGACGUUAGCGACAGAAGAAGCACCGGCUAACUCCGUGCCAGCAGCCGCGGUAAUACGGAGGGUGCGAGCGUUAAUCGGAAUUACUGGGCGUAAAGGGCACGCAGGCGGUUAAUUAAGUUGGAUGUGAAAUCCCCGGGCUUAACCUGGGAAUGGCAUUCAAGACUGGUUAGCUAGAGUCUUGUAGAGGGGGUAGAAUUCCAUGUGUAGCGGUGAAAUGCGUAGAGAUGUGGAGGAAUACCGGUGGCGAAGGCGGCCCCCGGGCAAAGGGACCUGACGCUCA